CUUAUUGAUUGUUAUUUAUUUUUGUUUAUUCCACUUUAAACCAUAUGUUAGCAUUGCAAUGCUGUGAGAUUCAUAUUAAACAGUCAUGUUAUUAAUUGUGUUGUCUUUAUUUUGUUUACAGUCAUUAUCAGGACUCAUAAGCAAAUGACAUCUAUACAACAUAAUCAGUCUUAGUUCGACUACUUCACUUCCCAACUUUUCAAGGCGAGUGUGAUCGUUUUUCAUUAUAAAUCAUUGUUUCAGUCGCAGAGGAUGUCUGUCGUCAUUCAGGACAAAAUAUAGCAGCGUCAACUUAAAGCCAGAUACUCGAGCAUCUCCUGUCUUAUACUUUAACUAAGAUGUUGCUCUGAGAAUUCCAACAAACAUGACAACAAAAACAGCAACAAACUAAUGCGAUCGUAACAACUUAAUUUUUUUGGUACCUAUAACUUUUGUGUGUAUCUGAGUGCAGAAAGUAAAUACCGUAAUCUACUGAAUAAAACUCCAACCGUAAUCUACUGAAUAAAACCCCAACCGUAAUCUACUGAAUAAAACCCCAACCGUAAUCUACUGAAUAAAACCCCAACCGUAAUCUACUGAAUAAAACCCCAACCGUAAUCU